rnacentral:lncRNA from 1 species
CCAGGUUGAAAUAGAACAAAAGAAUCGAAGCUCUUUGUUAGAGAAGGCGAUAAAUGUUUACUGUAUUGUUUACUAUAGUGACAAAAUUUUUAAAAGUUAAUAGAAACAAACAAAAUUGCAAUUUUCUUCUCAAUUACGAGGUGUUUUAUUUUAAAAACACCAUUUGCAUAAGUUUUCAAUUUAUCUAGUUCAUAGUUAAGCAGAACAAUUAGAUAUCAAGUCGACGACAUGGGUAUCUUUCAAGUUGGAUGACAAAAAUGCAUAACCUCCGAUUUUUUUGAAAAAAUUACCACGGACGGAAACCAUAUCAAUUUAUUACUUCAGUAAUUUUCGUGUCUGCCCUUCCAUUAUGUGACUGAAGAAAAAAUUCCAAAAAUGGGUAACAAUUGUAUCGAAAAGAGAAAAUCGAGUGCACCGUUUUAUGUUAGGGUCUGUUUGAGUUGAGUAUUUUGUCUUGAUAUCGUACAAAGCAAGAAUAUUUCAUACAUCGUCUCGCUUCAAAUUCUAUCAUUUUUAUACAUUAAAGCUACAGGUUGACGUUAUAACACAAAAAAAUCACAGUACUAAAAGAUGAAAUAUAUAGGUCAAGUGAAAUACCUAUCUAAUGAGUCACAAAAACAGAGAAGGUGUGUUCGAAUAGCUAUUUUUUUACUGAAAGUACUUGACGACAGUCUUUCAAGUUGGAUGAUGAAAAUGCAUAUCUUCGAAAAAUUCCAAUUUUUUGUGUGUGAUAACUAGAGUUUAUAGUCUUCAUACACUAAAAAAAUCUAGUCUGCCCUUUCACGAAAUAUUUAUUUAGAAUUUUUUUAAAUGUUUAUGAAUUUUCGAAAAUUCCACCUGACAACCGAUCAGACAAUAGUUUUAAGUUGAAUCAAUGCAGACAAGAUUAUUAACUGAUGCUCAUUAGCUAGUUGAUACAUUUGUCUUUAAAAAUACAACUGACAUAUAAGGAUCGUAAUGGUGCAAUAUGGAUAAAUUUAUCGGUUUCCAAGAGCAAAAUUGGUAGCGCGUCAUCCCUACAAUGGCUUCCGUUUCUACGAUUGUGAAAAUGAACUGGCGUAAUGGGGAAAUAAUUUUGACGAAGUAGGAUCCUGACUGGAUAUACAUGAAUUACAUACACAAUAGAAAUUACAUGCAGGGAGUUGAGAGCACUGUACAUAUUAUUAUUCAAUCAGUAUAAAAGAGAUCAUUGCACUGACCUGACCACGCAAAAUAUAUAUUUAUAUACAAAAAAUGUCACACAUAGUAGAAAAGGCUUCGUUUUUCGUAUUUGGUUUAAGACAUUUGAGCCAUAAUUGCAUUUCAUGUUUUAUCAUAUUUAAAAUCACCGAUUUACGUAUCCCUUUCUUUUGAUAUUUUGGGAUAUUUGUUGUUUUCCAGAUAACCCAUUUCGUGAUUAGAAGCACCGUAUCUAAAAUUUGGGUAUAAGAUGCAUCUGAAUUAAUGACCCCAAAAAUUAUACUUGUUUCCGAUUUUUGUAAUUUUUCGAUAUUAAGUUUUGAACAAAAUUCCCAUAUUUUCUCAAAAAUUUCCCGCCAAACGUCUUCCACCAGUUUAAAAUAAAUAAAAAGAUGAAAAAGUGAUUCGUUUUCAUUGCAAAAGUGACACUUCCCGUUUGAGCGAUUCAUUUUUUGUAAUUUUUCUUCAGUGUAAAUUAUAUUAUGUAGUAACUUCCAUUGAAAUUGCUUAGUUUUUCUGUUAGCUAUAAAAUUCUCAUUUAAAGUUUCCUAAAUGUAUUCCCAUGGUAGUUCGUUACCAAAAUGUAAAGUAACUGGCUAUUUGGAGCUGUUUUAUUCUCAUAAAAGUAUCUAAUAUCUUUAAGGCAUAUUUUUUUGACAUCAACGACAACUCCAUUUUUUAUAAAUUGACAAAUAUUUUUUUAUUUUUAUAGGUCUAUCAGAAUGACUUUGUAUGAUAGAGUCUGUUUUUAAAACGUCAAUUUGUUGAGGUGGUAACGAAGAUUUAAUGCGGCUAUAUCACAUGUGCAAUCCAAUUCCUUUUAUUUUUAAGACUGUUAAAAAUAUCAAAAGAAGUUUUAAAGGAUUUAUUUUUUUAAAGUCCCAUAUAUUUUUUAUUUUUUUUUAUUCCACUGGAGGCAAAAUUUGCAUAAUAUAAUGCAUGUCCCUUGAACUUAAAUUUACAAUUGCCGAGUUCUAGUAGGAAGUUUUAUUCCUUCUAUAUUAGGAUUGUUUCUAAUUGAUGCGGUUCUGCUUGCAGAAUAUAUAAGGGAGCUACCAUUUGAUUUUU